AUUGAACGCUGGCGGCAGGCCUAACACAUGCAAGUCGAGCGGAUGAAGGGAGCUUGCUCCUGGAUUCAGCGGCGGGCGGGUGAGUAAUGCCUAGGAAUCUGCCUGGUAGUGGGGGAUAACGUCCGGAAACGGGCGCUAAUACCGCAUACGUCCUGAGGGAGAAAGUGGGGGAUCUUCGGACCUCACGCUAUCAGAUGAGCCUAGGUCGGAUUAGCUAGUUGGUGGGGUAAAGGCCUACCAAGGCGACGAUCCGUAACUGGUCUGAGAGGAUGAUCAGUCACACUGGAACUGAGACACGGUCCAGACUCCUACGGGAGGCAGCAGUGGGGAAUAUUGGACAAUGGGCGAAAGCCUGGUCCAGCCAUGCCGCGUGUGUGAAGAAGGUCUUCGGAUUGUAAAGCACUUUAAGUUGGGAGGAAGGGCAGUAAGUUAAUACCUUGCUGUUUUGACGUUACCAACAGAAUAAGCACCGGCUAACUUCGUG
rnacentral:rRNA from 1 species